rnacentral:rRNA from 1 species
UACGAGGGGGGGCAAAAUGUUGUUCGGAAUCACUGGGCGUAAAGGGAGCGUAGGCGGGUUCUUAAGUUAGGUGUUUAAUCCCGGGGCCCCAACCCCGGACCGGCACUUAAAAACUGGGAAUCUUGAAUAGUGGAGAGGUCGGUGGAAUUGGAGGUGUAGCGGUGGAAUGCGUAGAGAUCUCCAAGAACACCAGUUGCGAAGGCGGCCGACUGGACACAUAUUGACGCUGAGGCUCGAAAAGCAUGGGGAGCAAACAGG